AUUGAACGCUGGCGGCAGGCCUAACACGUGCAAGUCGAGCGGAUGACGGGAGCUUGCUCCUUGAUUCAGCGGCGGACGGGUGAGUAAUGCCUAGGAAUCUGCCUGGUAGUGGGGGACAACGUUUCGAAAGGAACGCUACUACCGCAUACGUCCUACGGGAGAAAGCAGGGGACCUUCGGGCCUUGCGCUAUCCGCUGAGCCUAGGUCGGAUUAGCUAGUAGGUGAGGUAAGGGCUCACCUAGGCGACGAUCCGUAACUGGUCUGAGAGGAUGAUCAGUCACACUGGAACUGAGACACGGUCCAGACUCCUACGGGAGGCAGCAGUGGGGAAUAUUGGACAAUGGGCGAAAGCCUGAUCCAGCCAUGCCGCGUGUGUGAAGAAGGUCUUCGGAUUGUAAAGCACUUUAAGUUGGGAGGAAGGGCAGUAAGCUAAUACCUUGCUGUUUUGACGUUACCGACAGAAUAAGCACCGGCUAACUCUGUGCCAGCAGCCGCCGUAACAC
rnacentral:rRNA from 1 species